ACCAAUUCUGGGGGAUAAUUAGUUCCUCUUGGCAUAAUGGCUCAGACGCUAUAUUGAAAUAUGUGGUUAUCCUGAUUAUUGGCUUUUCCCAUGUCUUUUGAUCCUGGAAACGCCACAAAUACUU
rfam:Gossypium raimondii chromosome 13, whole genome shotgun sequence.